rnacentral:misc_RNA from 1 species
UGUAUGAGUUGUGWUUGGGWUGUCUUUGCUGGCUGGCUCCAUGCUUUUGCAUCGAACGGUUGGGCAUGCAAUCUCGUCUCAAGUUAGUCGCUGCGGAGCUUGGUUGCGGUUCCUGUGUUGCCUACCUCUUGAAUGAAUGGCAUUCAUGUGGCUUGUCGGAUUUUGUCCAUCCAGUUCUCCUCCUCGAGGGGUGCUGGGGGAUGUCAAAGCGACACACGUGCUCCACGGUAGUUGUUUGCUAUCGAUGUGGAGCAUGUGCGUUUGCUGCUCUCUCGGAUGCGGUGCAUGAGAUGAAACAAGGGAAGUUUUUCCCAUUGAGUCCCUCCAAUCCAAUCUCGGUUGCCUUGAAUGACACUUGCCUUCGUGCUCGCUUGCUCUCCAGUGUCGUGGUUGCAUGCGGGCACCGAUGAGCAAAGCUGUUAAUGGACG